ACGAACGCUGGCGGCGUGCCUAAUACAUGCAAGUAGAACGCUGAAGAGAGGAGCUUGCUCUUCUUGGAUGAGUUGCGAACGGGUGAGUAACGCGUAGGUAACCUGCCUUGUAGCGGGGGAUAACUAUUGGAAACGAUAGCUAAUACCGCAUAACAAUGGAUGACACAUGUCAUUUAUUUGAAAGGGGCAAUUGUUCCACUACAAGAUGGACCUGCGUUGUAUUAGCUAGUAGGUGAGGUAAUGGCUCACCUAGGCGACGAUACAUAGCCGACCUGAGAGGGUGAUCGGCCACACUGGGACUGAGACACGGCCCAGACUCCUACGGGAGGCAGCAGUAGGGAAUCUUCGGCAAUGGGGGCAACCCUGACCGAGCAACGCCGCGUGAGUGAGGAAGGUUUUCGGAUCGUAAAGCUCUGUUGUAAGUCAAGAACGGGUGUGAGAGUGGAAAGUUCACACUGUGACGGUAGCUUACCAGAAAGGGACGGCUAACUACGUGCCAGCAGCCGCGGUAAUACGUAGGUCCCGAGCGUUGUCCGGAUUUAUUGGGCGUAAAGCGAGCGCAGGCGGUUUGAUAAGUCUGAAGUUAAAGGCUGUGGCUCAACCAUAGUUCGCUUUGGAAACUGUCAAACUUGAGUGCAGAAGGGGAGAGUGGAAUUCCAUGUGUAGCGGUGAAAUGCGUAGAUAUAUGGAGGAACACCGGUGGCGAAAGCGGCUCUCUGGUCUGUAACUGACGCUGAGGCUCGAAAGCGUGGGGAGCGAACAGGAUUAGAUACCCUGGUAGUCCACGCCGUAAACGAUGAGUGCUAGGUGUUGGAUCCUUUCCGGGAUUCAGUGCCGCAGCUAACGCAUUAAGCACUCCGCCUGGGGAGUACGACCGCAAGGUUGAAACUCAAAGGAAUUGACGGGGGCCCGCACAAGCGGUGGAGCAUGUGGUUUAAUUCGAAGCAACGCGAAGAACCUUACCAGGUCUUGACAUCCCGAUGCUAUUUCUAGAGAUAGAAAGUUACUUCGGUACAUCGGUGACAGGUGGUGCAUGGUUGUCGUCAGCUCGUGUCGUGAGAUGUUGGGUUAAGUCCCGCAACGAGCGCAACCCCUAUUGUUAGUUGCCAUCAUUCAGUUGGGCACUCUAGCGAGACUGCCGGUAAUAAACCGGAGGAAGGUGGGGAUGACGUCAAAUCAUCAUGCCCCUUAUGACCUGGGCUACACACGUGCUACAAUGGUUGGUACAACGAGUUGCGAGUCGGUGACGGCGAGCUAAUCUCUUAAAGCCAAUCUCAGUUCGGAUUGUAGGCUGCAACUCGCCUACAUGAAGUCGGAAUCGCUAGUAAUCGCGGAUCAGCACGCCGCGGUGAAUACGUUCCCGGGCCUUGUACACACCGCCCGUCACACCACGAGAGUUUGUAACACCCGAAGUCGGUGAGGUAACCUUUUGGAGCCAGCCGCCUAAGGUGGGACAGAUGAUUGGGGUG
rnacentral:rRNA from 1 species